rnacentral:rRNA from 1 species
CUGGGAGGACCAUCUCCUAAGGCUAAAUACUCUCUAGUGACCGAUAGUGAACCAGUACCGUGAGGGAAAGGUGAAAAGCACCCCGGAAGGGGAGUGAAAUAGAACCUGAAACCGUGUGCUUACAAGUAGUCAGAGCCCGUUAAUGGGUGAUGGCGUGCCUUUUGUAGAAUGAACCGGCGAGUUACGAUUUGAUGCAAGGUUAAGCAGUAAAUGUGGAGCCGUAGCGAAAGCGAGUCUGAAUAGGGCGUUUAGUAUUUGGUCGUAGACCCGAAACCAGGUGAUCUACCCUUGGUCAGGUUGAAGUUCAGGUAACACUGAAUGGAGGACCGAACCGACUUACGUUGAAAAGUGAGCGGAUGAACUGAGGGUAGCGGAGAAAUUCCAAUCGAACCUGGAGAUAGCUGGUUCUCUCCGAAAUAGCUUUAGGGCUAGCCUCAAGUGAUGAUUAUUGGAGGUAGAGCACUGUUUGGACGAGGGGCCCCUCUCGGGUUACCGAAUUCAGACAAACUCCGAAUGCCAAUUAAUUUAACUUGGGAGUCAGAACAUGGGUGAUAAGGU